AUUGAACGCUGGCGGCAGGCCUAACACAUGCAAGUCGAACGGUAACAGGAAACAGCUUGCUGUUUCGCUGACGAGUGGCGGACGGGUGAGUAAUGUCUGGGAAACUGCCUGAUGGAGGGGGAUAACUACUGGAAACGGUAGCUAAUACCGCAUAACGUCGCAAGACCAAAGAGGGGGACCUUCGGGCCUCUUGCCAUCGGAUGAGCCCAGAUGGGAUUAGCUAGUAGGUGGGGUAACGGCUCACCUAGGCGACGAUCCCUAGCUGGUCUGAGAGGAUGACCAGCCACACUGGAACUGAGACACGGUCCAGACUCCUACGGGAGGCAGCAGUGGGGAAUAUUGCACAAUGGGCGCAAGCCUGAUGCAGCCAUGCCGCGUGUAUGAAGAAGGCCUUCGGGUUGUAAAGUACUUUCAGCGGGGAUGAAGGGAGUAAAGUUAAUACCUUUGCUCAUUGACGUUACCCGCAGAAGAAGCACCGGCUAACUCCGUG
rnacentral:rRNA from 1 species